UACGUAGGGGGCUAGCGUUGUCCGGAUUUAUUGGGCGUAAAGAGCGUGUAGGCGGCUAUGCAGGUCCGCUGUGAAAACUCGAGGCUCAACCUCGAGACGUCGGUGGAAACCGCAUGGCUAGAGUCCGGAAGAGGAGAGUGGAGUUCCCGGUGUAGCGGUGAAAUGCGCAGAUAUCGGGAAGAACACCCGUGGCGAAGGCGGCUCUCUGGGACGGUACUGACGCUGAGACGCGAAAGCGUGGGGAGCGAACAGG
rnacentral:rRNA from 1 species